rnacentral:rRNA from 1 species
UGUAGUCUCGCACAGAUGCAUAUCAAUAAGCGGAGGAAAAGGUACCUACGCUUAGGAUGUUGACGCGCGUGUGUGCGUGAGUCUAUACAUGACUCUGUGCAUAUCAAUAAGCGGAGGAAAAGAGACUAACAAGGAUUCCCCUAGUAACGGCGAGUGAAGCGGGAAGAGCUCAAAUUUGAAAUCUUGAAAGGGUUUCCCUUUACGAAUUGUAGUUUAAAGAAGUGUUUUCUGUUGAGGUUUUGGUAAAAGUUCUUUGGAAUAGGACAUCAUAGAGGGUGAGAAUCCCGUAUUUGACCUUUACUUUCAACUUUGUGAUACACUUUCAAAGAGUCGGAUUGUUUGGGAAUGCAGUCCAAAAUGGGUGGUAAAUUUCAUCUAAAGCUAAAUAUUGGCGAGAGACCGAUAGCGAACAAGUACCGUGAGGGAAAGAUGAAAAGAACUUUGAAAAGAGAGUUAAACAGUACGUGAAAUUGUCAAAAGGGAAGCGUUUUGACACCAGUGUUGUUUUUCUGAAAAUCAAUUAAAGAACUGUUUAUGCUAAGUUGCUUUAGACUUUAUCAGCUAACUGUUUAGUUUUGAGCUUUUCUUUAAUGCACUUUUCAGUUAACAAGUCAACAUCAAUUUCUUUUGCUGUGAAAAAAGCUUGAGGAAGGUGGCUUGAGAUUCGUCUUAAGUGUUUAUAGCCUCUUGCCUAUGCAGUCGGAGAGAUUGAGGUCUGCAGCGUAGAUCCUUCGGGGCUAAAUGCAUUUGUGCUAAGUUAUAGCAUUUUAUAGACAACUUGUUGACUAUGAUUUGUCUUGUAGCUUACUCGCUUAUGUUAUUUUACCUACGCUUAGGAUGUUGACGCGCGUGUGUGCGUG